rnacentral:rRNA from 1 species
GAUGAACGCUGGCGGCGUGCCUAAUACAUGCAAGUCGAGCGAACGGACGAGAAGCGUGGGUUUCUGGUGUUAGCGGCGGGCGGGUGAGUCGCACGUGGAUAACCUAUCUAUAAGGGUUGGAUAACGUCGGGAAACGGGAGCUAAUGCCGGAUAAUAUUUUUGACUGCAUGGGUCUAGAGUGAUAGACGGUCUUGGGGUCGAUUAUAGAUUGAUCCGCUCGGCAGUAGCUAGUUGGUAAGGUAACGGCUUACCAAGGCAACGAUGCAUAGCCGAGCUGUGCGGGUGAACGGCCCCACUGGAACUGAGCCACGGUACUGACUCCGACGGAAGGCACCAGUAGCGACUCUUGCGCAAUGGGCGGAAGCCUGACGGAGCAACGCCGGGUGAGUGCUGAAGCUCCGCGGAUCGUAAAACUCUGUUAUUAGGGUAGACCAUAUUCGCAAGUAACUGUGCACAUCUUGACGGUACUUAAUCAGAAAGCCCCGGCUAACUACGUG